UACGAAGGGUGCAAGCGUUGUUCGGAACUACUGGGCGUAAAGGGCGUGUAGGCGGCCAACUAAGUCCGACGUGAAAUCCCCAGGCUUAACCUGGGAACUGCGUCGGAUACUGGAUGGCUUGAAUCCGGGAGAGGGAUGCAGAAUUCCAGGUGUAGCGGUGAAAUGCGUAGAUAUCUGGAGGAAUACCGGUGGCGAAGGCGGCAUCCUGGACCGGCAUUGACGCUGAAGCGCGAAAGCUAGGGGAGCAAACGGG
rnacentral:rRNA from 1 species